UACGUAGGCAGCAAGCGUUGUUCGGAAUUACUGGGCGUAAAGAGUGUGUAGGCGGUGCUCUAAGUUCGGUGUGAAAUCUCCUGGCUCAACUGGGAGGGUGCGCCGGAAACUGGGGGUGCUGGAGCGCGGGGAGAGGAAAGCGGAAUUCCUGGUGUAGCGGUGAAAUGCGUAGAUAUCAGGAGGAACACCGGCGGUGUAGACGGCUUUCUGGACCGUAGCUGACGCUGAGACACGAAAGCGUGGGUAGCAAACAGG
rnacentral:rRNA from 1 species